rnacentral:rRNA from 1 species
UAGGGAAUCUUCGGCAAUGGGGGGAACCCUGACCGAGCAACGCCGCGUGAGUGAAGAAGGUUUUCGGAUCGUAAAGCUCUGUUGUUAAGGAAGAACGAGUGUGAGAAUGGAAAGUUCAUACUGUGACGGUACUUAACCAGAAAGGGACGGCUAACUACGUGCCAGCAGCCGCGGUAAUACGUAGGUCCCGAGCGUUGUCCGGAUUUAUUGGGCGUAAAGCGAGCGCAGGCGGUUAGAUAAGUCUGAAGUUAAAGGCAGUGGCUCAACCAUUGUAGGCUUUGGAAACUGUUUAACUUGAGUGCAGAAGGGGAGAGUGGAAUUCCAUAUGUAGCGGUGAAAUGCGUAGAUAUAUGGAGGAACACCGGUGGCGAAAGCGGCUCUCUGGUCUGUAACUGACGCUGAGGCUCGAAAGCGUGGGGAGCGAACAGG